AGCUCCCACCGGUGAGAGCUCCAGAAGCUCUGCUUCACAACGCACUAAACCUGCAGGUGAGAGCUCCAGAAGCUCUGCUUCACAACGCAAUAAACCUGCAGGAAAAAGCUCCAAAAGUGCUACAGGAAGACAUUAGUGCUUCUUAGUGUAAAAGCCUUCAAUUAUCAUAAAAUUGUAGUUGUAUUUCAGGGUAUUCUUAUGACACAGCCAUUGCAUUAUUGAGUGAUAACAUGAAAUGACAGUCAAACUGAUUGUUGAAGUAAAUUUUUCAUCAUAUUUCUAUUCCUCUUUAUAACCAUUUGAUUUGUUAGAAGAAAGUGAAUGAUUUGCUGUUCAGUUAUACAACAAGCUUCUUCCUAGUUUAUAUUCCCAAAUGGCUCUCAUGGAAAAUUUGACUUGGAAACAAUUAACAUUGUGAUCAUUCUAUAUUAUUUACAUUAGAUUUGGCAACAGAUUAAGAUAGUCUGUACUCAAAAUGGUGAUUGGGAUGUCAAUGCAAUCUGGCAUCCCUACAUGACCAUCUCCUCCAGAAGUGUGCAUAUGCUUUAUAUCGAACCAAACCUGUUCCAGCAUGACAAUGCUUCUGUGCACAAUGUGAGGUCCAGGUCAGUGGUUAAGGCAAUGGGCUACUUUUUGGAAGGCCAUGAGUUCAAAUCCCAGCACAGUCAAUUGGAUUCUGUUGGGGGUCUUUGAGCAAGACCCUCAACUGCUCACUUGUAUCCUGUGAAUAGCUAUAGGCAUUGGAAUUAGUCCAACACAAGGCUUAAUCCAUGUUCUGGAAAUCAGCCUGUUAUAAUUUAUAUCCAGCUGUGCAAUGUGCCUCUUUAGACUGAGGGUUAUUAAUAAUGCAGUAAGUUGUGUUUCCACUACAGGGAAAAGGUGGGUCUGCAUUAUGUGGCACAAUUGUUUAAUAUUCUUGACAAUGACCUAGUCAUUUGAAAACACUAUUUCAUACACUGUGAUCUUCAUAUUGGAUUACAUCACUAAAUUAGUCAAACGGCUAGUUGUAUUCUGUAAUAAUAAAUAAUAAUGAGUCUUUAUUGGUCAGGUAUACAUUACAGCACAGUGAAAUUCUUUUCUUCGCAUACCCCAGCAUGUCAGGAAGCUGGGGUCAGAGCACAGGGUCAGCCAAACCACUUGAAAUCAACUCGAACUGAUGAGACAUUCAUACGAAUUUGAAGCUACAUGGGCAAUCGGGAUGGAUAUAGAAUUCAUGCUUUAUGUAUGAAGUCAUUACAAAAAAAAACAAAAAAAAAACAGAAACGUGAUACUAAUCCUAACCUUUUUAAUCCCAACUUUACAUACAAAGCUGUGUGAAUUGUUCAAUUUCUUGCAUAUAAAACUGAUAAAAUGUUGGUGUGCGUGCGCAUUUAAGUGUUGGUUAAGGGUACUUCGUCAGAGUAUUAAAAAAUAAAUAAAUAAAAUACAGUGUUCCUGUCAUUUACGUCAACUCCCCUAACAUUUUCUGUACAUUAUGUUGACGGUUGCCAUUUUUACAUGGAUUUGUAAUUUGCAUACUUUCCUUGACAAGCUUACUGCAGAUUAUUGAUAGUUUUCUGUUAUUAUUAAACGCCUUAAGGAUGAUUUAUAACGCUGUAUAUUUUCAGACUCUCAUCAAUCUUCAUGAUCACUGAUAUUAUGAGAUAACUAUUCAUCUGUCUUCACGUUGUUGUUUUGCAGUUUGUCACUGUACUUUUCUCAAAAUUGACUAACAGCGGAAUUAAAUCUGAUCUAUAUUAUAUAACAGAUUGGGAAGUGGUGGUUUAUUGAAUGUUUGACAGUGUAUAACUGCCUGUGUAUAAAUACCUUAGUGCUUUUUUUUGCUUUUUGUGCAGUACAGAAUGUGUUGCAAAUUCCACAUCUGGAAUAUCUUCACAGCAUAACAACUAACAGACAUAGUGAUCACAUUUUUUCCUAUAAUACGUUAGAGAUUAAGGCUUAUAUAGCCUACAUAAAGCCAGCUCACAGCUCAAGGGUCAAUCCUGAGCAUGUUACUGUAAACGUAGAGGUUUUACGGAUGUUCUCCCUGUGCCUGUGUGGGUUUCCUCCGGGUUCUCUGGUGUCCUCUCACCUUCAGUACUGAAUGAGUGUGUGCAUGGUGCCUUGCAAUGAACCAGUAUCCCAUCCAGGGUGUAUUUCUGCCUCGCGCCCAGUGUAUCUGGGAUUGGCUUCAGACCUGAGCGUGAGGAUGAAGUGGUUACUGAAAGUGAGUGAGGGAUGUCAAGCUGGUUACUGAUCCAACAUUAAACACAGUCAGUCAAUCCCGGAGCAUUUCGCAGAGGUUUUUUUUUUUUUUU
ensembl:lncRNA